GUUGAACGCUGGCGGCAUGCUUUACACAUGCAAGUCGAACGGUAACAGGCCUUCGGGUGCUGACGAGUGGCGCACGGGUGAGUAAUGCAUCGGAACGUACCCAGAGGUGGGGGAUAACGCAGCGAAAGCUGUGCUAAUACCGCAUGUGAUCUGAGGAUGAAAGCGGGGGACCGAGCAGCAAUGUUUGGCCUCGCGCCUUUGGAGCGGCCGAUGUCGGAUUAGCUAGUUGGUGGGGUAAAGGCCUACCAAGGCGACGAUCCGUAGCUGGUCUGAGAGGACGACCAGCCACACUGGGACUGAGGCACGGCCCAGACUCCUACGGGAGGCAGCAGUGGGGAAUUUUGGACAAUGGGCGCAAGCCUGAUCCAGCAAUGCCGCGUGCGGGAAGAAGGCCUUCGGGUUGUAAACCGCUUUUGGCAGGAACGAAACGGUGUCCGCUAAUACCGGGCGCUAAUGACGGUACCUGCAGAAUAAGCACCGGCUAACUACGUG
rnacentral:rRNA from 1 species